GGUUGUGGCUCAGCCGUAUAGCUCUCAACUUGCAUGUGCGAGGUCCUGGGUUCGAUCCUCAGCACCA
rnacentral:tRNA from 1 species